rnacentral:rRNA from 1 species
GUGGGGAAUCUUCCGCAAUGGACGAAAGUCUGACGGAGCAACGCCGCGUGAGUGAUGAAGGUCUUCGGAUUGUAAAGCUCUGUUAAUCGGGACGAAAGAGCCUAGUGUGAAUAAUGCUAGGAAGUGACGGUACCGGAAUAGAAAGCCACGGCUAACUACGUGCCAGCAGCCGCGGUAAUACGUAGGGGGCAAGCGUUAUCCGGAAUUACUGGGUGUAAAGGGCGUGUAGGCGGAGAAUUAAGUCUGAUGUGAAAUGCCAAAGCUUAACUUUGGAAUUGCAUCGGAAACUGGUUUUCUAGAGUGCAGGAGAGGAAAGCGGAAUUCUCAGUGUAGCGGUGAAAUGCGUAGAUAUUGAGAGGAACAUCGGUGGCGAAGGCGGCUUUCUGGACUGUAACUGACGCUGAGGCGCGAAAGCGUGGGGAGCAAACAGGAUUAGAUACCCGAGUAGUCC